CUCUGGCGGAUCAGUGGCGAACGGGUGAGUAACACGUGAGUAACCUGCCCCCGACUCUGGGAUAACUGCUAGAAAUGGUAGCUAAUACCGGAUAUGACGACUGGCCGCAUGGUCUGGUCGUGGAAAGAAUUUCGGUUGGGGAUGGACUCGCGGCCUAUCAGGUUGUUGGUGAGGUAAUGGCUCACCAAGCCUACGACGGGUAGCCGGCCUGAGAGGGUGACCGGCCACACUGGGACUGAGACACGGCCCAGACUCCUACGGGAGGCAGCAGUGGGGAAUAUUGCACAAUGGGCGCAAGCCUGAUGCAGCAACGCCGCGUGAGGGAUGACGGCCUUCGGGUUGUAAACCUCUUUUAGUAGGGAAGAAGCGAAAGUGACGGUACCUGCAGAAAAAGCACCGGCUAACUACGUGCCAGCAGCCGCGGUAAUACGUAGGGUGCAAGCGUUGUCCGGAAUUAUUGGGCGUAAAGAGCUCGUAGGCGGUUUGUCGCGUCUGCUGUGAAAUCCCGAGGCUCAACCUCGGGUCUGCAGUGGGUACGGGCAGACUAGAGUGCGGUAGGGGAGAUUGGAAUUCCUGGUGUAGCGGUGGAAUGCGCAGAUAUCAGGAGGAACACCGAUGGCGAAGGCAGAUCUCUGGGCCGUAACUGACGCUGAGGAGCGAAAGCAUGGGGAGCGAACAGGAUUAGAUACCCUGGUAGUCCAUGCCGUAAACGUUGGGAACUAGAUGUGGGGACCAUUCCACGGUCUCCGUGUCGCAGCUAACGCAUUAAGUUCCCCGCCUGGGGAGUACGGCCGCAAGGCUAAAA
rnacentral:rRNA from 1 species